GCCUAACACAUGCAAGUCGAGCGGUAACAGAUAGAAAGCUUGCUUUCUUUGCUGACGAGCGGCGGACGGGUGAGUAAUGCCUGGGAAUAUGCCUUGAUGUGGGGGAUAACCAUUGGAAACGAUGGCUAAUACCGCAUAAUGCCUACGGGCCAAAGAGGGGGAUCUUCGGACCUCUCGCGUCAAGAUUAGCCCAGGUGGGAUUAGCUAGUUGGUGAGGUAAUGGCUCACCAAGGCGACGAUCCCUAGCUGGUCUGAGAGGAUGAUCAGCCACACUGGAACUGAGACACGGUCCAGACUCCUACGGGAGGCAGCAGUGGGGAAUAUUGCACAAUGGGCGCAAGCCUGAUGCAGCCAUGCCGCGUGUGUGAAGAAGGCCUUCGGGUUGUAAAGCACUUUCAGUCGUGAGGAAGGUAGUUGCGUUAAUAGCGUAAUUAUUUGACGUUAGCGACAGAAGAAGCACCGGCUAACUCCGUGCCAGCAGCCGCGGUAAUACGGAGGGUGCGAGCGUUAAUCGGAAUUACUGGGCGUAAAGCGCAUGCAGGUGGUUUGUUAAGUCAGAUGUGAAAGCCCGGGGCUCAACCUCGGAAUUGCAUUUGAAACUGGCAGACUAGAGUACUGUAGAGGGGGGUAGAAUUUCAGGUGUAGCGGUGAAAUGCGUAGAGAUCUGAAGGAAUACCGGUGGCGAAGGCGGCCCCCUGGACAGAUACUGACACUCAGAUGCGAAAGCGUGGGGAGCAAACAGGAUUAGAUACCCUGGUAGUCCACGCCGUAAACGAUGUCUACUUGGAGGUUGUGGCCUUGAGCCGUGGCUUUCGGAGCUAACGCGUUAAGUAGACCGCCUGGGGAGUACGGUCGCAAGAUUAAAACUCAAAUGAAUUGACGGGGGCCCGCACAAGCGGUGGAGCAUGUGGUUUAAUUCGAUGCAACGCGAAGAACCUUACCUACUCUUGACAUCCAGAGAAGCCAGCGGAGACGCAGGUGUGCCUUCGGGAACUCUGAGACAGGUGCUGCAUGGCUGUCGUCAGCUCGUGUUGUGAAAUGUUGGGUUAAGUCCCGCAACGAGCGCAACCCUUAUCCUUGUUUGCCAGCGAGUAAUGUCGGGAACUCCAGGGAGACUGCCGGUGAUAAACCGGAGGAAGGUGGGGACGACGUCAAGUCAUCAUGGCCCUUACGAGUAGGGCUACACACGUGCUACAAUGGCGCAUACAGAGGGCUGCCAACCAGCGAUGGUGAGCGAAUCCCAAAAAGUGCGUCGUAGUCCGGAUUGGAGUCUGCAACUCGACUCCAUGAAGUCGGAAUCGCUAGUAAUCGUGGAUCAGAAUGCCACGGUGAAUACGUUCCCGGGCCUUGUACACACCGCCCGUCACACCAUGGGAGUGGGCUGCAAAAGAAGUGGGUAGUUUAACCUUUCGAGGAGGACGCUCACCAC
rnacentral:rRNA from 1 species